CCAAAGGUUGAGAACUGCUGCCCUAAAGGAUGGCUCUUAUUAUUGCUUUAAUUCUGUAUUACCUGUAUUCCUAAUGGGACGGUUCGCAGUCACAUUUUUCUUAUUCCUGUGCUCCUAGAACAGUCCUUUCCCAUCAGGAUACUGAUCACAUCUUGAGGAUGUUGUUGCUGGGAGGUCAUUUCCACUGCAGUUUCAUCACACUGCCCUCCUUUGCUUUCUGACUUCAGCCAUGCCAACUCGUUAUCCUUCCAACAUGGUGGAAUGCUCCUACAUCAGGACUUUUAACUUCAGAAUAUCAUGUCAGACCAGUACUGCUCACUUCAUGUUACUCAGACACAAGUGAGGCCAGGGUCCUCACACUCCAUUCAAAGAAAAGGAAGCAACUGAUUUGAAGCCGAAGAAACCACAAAUACAAGCAGCAUAUGGCCUUCCCUCACUGUGUCAAAGUGAAUUAUUCAUGAGCGUUUGUCAGAAAUAUCCGGCGCUACUGAGUUGUUCUGGAACAAAGAGUACAAAUUCUAGGCAGUGAUAACUCUGCGUGCAAUUCAACUUGUUUUUACUUUCUAUCUGGCCAUGAGGCAGAGCUCUCUGUGCUGGAGCCCUUAGCAUGUAGAUGAAUGAGCUUCAGCCAAUAGAGUAUGAGGAAAAGGAAACACACUCGAUCCUCUCAGGUGAUUGGUAACAUGUGUGUCCUUGCUGUGGCUCCCUCUUCUGCCCUGUGAAUGGAAGGAGCCUCAGACGCGGGUCCACCUGCUGCCAAGCACAUGCUGGCCUCAAACUACAUGAGUAAGAAAUGUGCGAGAUGAAGUCUGAAUCUAAAAUUGAGACUGAAAAUGCAAAUAUCUCUACGAGAGGCAGCAACACGUUUAUUUUACCGUAAGGUGUGAACAAUGGAUAUAAUUUUUAGAGCUAAAAUUCAGGGAAAGGUGAAAAGAAGCUAAGAGACACAAAGACCCUGGCAGCAAAAGGAACGCAUAAUGAAGAGAGAAAAAUAAAAAGAAAGGAAAAGGACUGUUCAAAGGUCAAAUACCUCAAAGUAUGUCUGAGAACAACUGGAUGAAAUGUGUCAAUCAAAGGCACAACUAUUAGUCUAAUAAUGAUCAUGAAUGGAGAAAUGAAUGUCGGAAAUUGUGAAGUCUGAGGUUUCCUCUUACUUGCAACCUAACAAAUUGCCUUGACAUCUUGUAGGAACCUGUGAAAGAUACAACACUGUCAGGUCAGAGACAGAUCACUGUGCACAGGGUUUAGCAGACCACAAACUUCAUCCUGCUGUGCCAGGCACCAAGGAGGAGGGUGCAGGAGAAAGCCAGUGGAUGUGACACAUAGUGAACGUCACACCUCCGCUCAGGCAAGCUGUGCUUAGGAAAUCUUCAGACGUUGGCUGUAACCAAGACCAAGAGAUACUUGUCCCGAAGAGAGACACUAUCUUUAUUACACAGAACAGCAAGUGAAUCUGCUGAGCGCUUCAGAAAAGGCCAGCUCUUCUGUUUUCCAAAGGUGCUUAUUUGACACUACUCCUUGGAAAGAGAGCUGAAGUGCCAGUUCACCCAGGACAAGCAGAAACACGGAGACACCCUGGAGCAUUGUCUCAGCUAUCCCAAUGGGUCAUAGCUUAGCAUUUCAUAGGGGGGAAAGCACUAAAGGAUGCCAGUGACUCUAAAGAAAGCUGGUGGUAGAGCCUCAAAGAGAUGCUUAGAAAUGUGCUGUGGAGAAAGCCCCGUGUCUUAGAAUAAGACUCGAAAUUCAGUCGGGACUCUUUCAGUUACUACCUAUUUGACUUUGUGAAAGCUGCAUGGUCUCAAGUUUUUCAUCUUAAAGGCAUAGAAAGAUACAUAUUAUAGAAAGAUAUGCAUUAUCUUUACAUAUAUAGAAAGAUAUGUACUAUUUUACUAAUAAUGCAUGGUCUAGUUACUGCAGGAAAUAACCAUAAAUAACCACAUGUAAGUAGAGCAGACUAAUACAUAACACACAUUG
rnacentral:lncRNA from 1 species